GUGUUCCUUUGCAGUGUUCAAUGGAAUAGUUAUUGAUGAACAACAGUCUCCAGAAUCAUGCCCCCCUCCUUUCCUGUUGCUAAAAUUCAGAGACAGAAAAAACCCUCAAGAGUCAGUGGGAUCGAUGAGCUGUUAGCAGCAUCUGCAUCGUUCUCAAUGUUACCUCCAUCUCAUGCAGGACCAGACUGCAGCAGGUCCCCAGGAGGCACACUAAUACCAUCAUGCUACAGCUGAAGACUCAAACUCACCCUUGAGCCUGAACACUCCAUUUACCAUCCUAACCUUCAGGUGCCUCACAGUAUUGCUCAGGCUUGCUCUGUGUUGUGCUACUGCUGAGAGAGAAGGAAUCAGUCUUGGUUGAGAAGAGAAGAGGGAUGGUUCAAACCUAAACCCUGCCCAGACAGACAGAGAUAGCUGAUGUCCCUGUGUGAGCUCAUGCUGAGGCACAGAGCACAAAAACAAGGACUGACGGAAUGAAAAUGUCUUGCUUGUACAUCUCUAGCACAAUGCUAUACCUCCUUCGCUAAUAAAUAUGAAUUUACUG